GCAGCUAUAGCUCAUCUGGUAGAGCACAUCCCUCUGGAGGAUGCGGUAGCUAGUUCAAAUCUAGCUAGCAGCA
rnacentral:tRNA from 1 species